GCAUUGGUAGUUAAGUGGUAGAAAUCUUGCCUUCCAUGCGGGAGACCCAGGUUCAAUCCCUAGCCCAUGCA
rnacentral:tRNA from 1 species